GGGCCCGUAGCUCAGUGGUAGAGCAUCUGCCUUUUAAGCAGAGGGUCGGUGGUUCGAGACCACCCGGGCUCA
rnacentral:tRNA from 1 species